GAUGAAGAACGCAGCGAAAUGCGAUAAGUAAUGUGAAUUGCAGAAUUCAGUGAAUCAUCGAAUCUUUGAACGCACAUUGCGCCCGCCAGUAUUCUGGCGGGCAUGCCUGUUCGAGCGUCAUUACAACCCUCAGGCCCCCGGGCCUGGCGUUGGGGAUCGGCAGAAGCCCCCUGUGGGCACACGCCGUCCCUCAAAUACAGGGGCGGUCCCGCCGCAGCUUCCAUUGCGUAGUAGCUAACACCUCGCAACUGGAGAGCGGCGCGGCCAUGCCGUAAAACACCCAACUUCUGAAUGUUGACCUCGAAUCAGGUAGGAAUACCCGCUGAACUUAAGCAUAUCAAUAAGCGGAGGA
rnacentral:misc_RNA from 1 species